rnacentral:lncRNA from 1 species
CAAAUCAAAACUAAUAAAAUGCCAGAGAUUACAGGUAAGGGGGUUGGUUACACAGAGGGAAGGUGUUAGCACCCAAAGUGUCCUAGGUAAAAAGUACGAACAAAACCCAAAAGAUAAGAAGUUUUCAAAUCAAAACUAAUAAAAUGCCAGAGAUUACAGGUAAGGGGGUUGGUUACACAGAGGGAAGGUGUUAGCACCCAAAGUGUCCUAGGUACUCAUAGGGACCCCUUUUUUUUGUACAUAUGUGUUUUUGUACAAAUGAUGUUUGCAAACAAAUGGAAUGAAGGGAUGAGAAAAUAAUUCAUUAAUUAUAUUUUUGUGUUUGACAA